rnacentral:rRNA from 1 species
UACAGAGGUCUCAAGCGUUGUUCGGAUUCAUUGGGCGUAAAGGGUGUGUAGGUGGCGCCGUAAGUCGGGUGUGAAAUUUCGGAGCUUAACUCCGAAACUGCAUUCGAUACUGCGGUGCUUGAGGACUGGAGAGGAGACUGGAAUUCAUGGUGUAGCAGUGAAAUGCAUAGAGAUCAUGAGGAAGACCAGUGGCGAAGGCGGGUCUCUGGACAGUUCCUGACACUGAGACACGAAGGCCAGGGGAGCAAACGGG